GCAUCGGUGGGGUAUGAUGGAAACCUACAGCUUAUUCGUCCUGGUAAUGGCUGAGCUCGGGGUUCAACUCCCCGCCGAUGCA